UCCCGUGGUUUAUUGUGUCGCGAUCCCGGUUAACAAGCGGCCAAUGUAGUGCCGUAUUUUAUUAGAGUUUCAUCGUUGUCGCGUUAUUUUGGUGACUUUUUUUUUCUAUACGUUUCCAUUUAGGAUACUUUUGGGUAUGUAUGAAUUUGGUAUUUGUUUGGCAUUAGCAUUGAGGCGCAAAUAGACAUUUGAGCAAGCUUAAGCUUCG